rnacentral:rRNA from 1 species
GGUCAGGGAUGGGCUCGCGGCCUAUCAGCUUGUUGGUGGGGUGAUGGCCUACCAAGGCGACGACGGGUAGCCGGCCUGAGAGGGCGACCGGCCACACUGGGACUGAGACACGGCCCAGACUCCUACGGGAGGCAGCAGUGGGGAAUAUUGCACAAUGGGCGAAAGCCUGAUGCAGCGACGCCGCGUGAGGGAUGAAGGCCUUCGGGUUGUAAACCUCUUUCAGCAGGGAAGAAGCGCAAGUGACGGUACCUGCAGAAGAAGCGCCGGCUAACUACGUGCCAGCAGCCGCGGUAAUACGUAGGGCGCAAGCGUUGUCCGGAAUUAUUGGGCGUAAAGAGCUCGUAGGCGGUUUGUCGCGUCUGGUGUGAAAACUCGAGGCUCAACCUCGAGCUUGCAUCGGGUACGGGCAGACUAGAGUGCGGUAGGGGAGACUGGAAUUCCUGGUGUAGCGGUGGAAUGCGCAGAUAUCAGGAGGAACACCGAUGGCGAAGGCAGGUCUCUGGGCCGCAACUGACGCUGAGGAGCGAAAGCAUGGGGAGCGAACAGGAUUAGAUACCCUGGUAGUCCAUGCCGUAAACGUUGGGCACUAGGUGUGGGGCUCAUUCCACGAGUUCCGUGCCGCAGCAAACGC